AUUGAACGCUGGCGGCAGGCCUAACACAUGCAAGUCGAGCGGUAGCACAGAGAGCUUGCUCUCGGGUGACGAGCGGCGGACGGGUGAGUAAUGUCUGGGAAACUGCCUGAUGGAGGGGGAUAACUACUGGAAACGGUAGCUAAUACCGCAUAACGUCGCAAGACCAAAGUGGGGGACCUUCGGGCCUCAUGCCAUCAGACGUGCCCAGAUGGGAUUAGCUGGUAGGUGGGGUAACGGCUCACCUAGGCGACGAUCCCUAGCUGGUCUGAGAGGAUGACCAGCCACACUGGAACUGAGACACGGUCCAGACUCCUACGGGAGGCAGCAGUGGGGAAUAUUGCACAAUGGGCGCAAGCCUGAUGCAGCCAUGCCGCGUGUGUGAAGAAGGCCUUCGGGUUGUAAAGCACUUUCAGCGGGGAGGAAGGCGGUGAGGUUAAUAACCUCACUGAUUGACGUUACCCGCAGAAGAAGCACCGGCUAACUCCGUGCCAGCCGCCGCCGUAA
rnacentral:rRNA from 1 species